GUUAAUUAAAUGUAAACCUUAAGAAUCGUGUGCGUCCCAAUUUAUUCCUUCUCCUGGGAAAAUUUCUCUCGAUCGACUCCUCGAAGAUCUGCAAAACCGGAAAAUCCGAUUACGGUUUUUAGAUUAGUUGAUUCCGCCUGAAACCCGAUGUGAUUGUUUGGGUUUCUCACACUCGCUGUCGAGUGAUCUUAGGUUUAGGGUUAUUUUUCUUCGUUUUCGUUUUGGAGCGAAGCUUCUUGACUCAUUCUUCGAGGUUUGGCUAUAGGAGGAGUGUUGAAGAUUGCAAUCGUUACUUCACAAAUUUUAUUUCUGUAUAAAUUUCACACAAGUCAGCGUCAUGAGUUACUGCUUUACAUAUCUUGAAGCUUCUCUGCGUGAAACCAUCGUCGUUGAGGUAAUUUAUCCUUCGUUGAUCAUUUCUAAAUGAUGAGUGUUAUCUGUCCGAUUUUUUUUAUUUUGGGUAACAUUGUCCCGUGAGAAAUCUUAUGGUUGGUAUAGUGCAUGGUCUAAAGAAGGAUGUUAUGGGGAUGGAAAAUUAAGACUUGGAGUCUAUUGGUUGGUAGUGCAUGCUUGCUUGCUUUAACACAAAGACUAUAUGAAGAUCAUAGGCAAGCACUGAUCUAAUAGUGUUAUCUGUCCGAUUUUUAUCUCGGAUAACAUUGUCCCAUGAGGAAUCGUUUGGUUGGUAGUGCAUGCUUAAAAGUCUUAACACAGACUAUGUGAGGAGGAUGAGAAAGAAAAUGACCCACGGCUUAGAAAAAAAUCUUUUGAUGGUAAUGGCUUAAAUAAGACUCAUUGGAUUGGAGAAAACGACCAACAACUUAAAGAUGUAUGCUUAAAAGUCUUAAAAGUCUAUUGGUUGGUUGGUGGUAGUGCAUGCUUAAAAGUCUUAAGACAGAUUGUCUUUGCGAUAACCACAAGAGACAGAGACUAUGAGUUGGAUGGGGUUUGGUUUACGAUUUGUUGGAUGGAAAGAAAGAAACGAUCAACAGGUGAAAUAAGCUUAAACGAAAGUCUUUCACACAAAAGACAAUUAUGGGGGUUGCUUAGAAAAGGGUCCUUGGUGUAAUAAAAGAGUUCCAACGGCUUAAAGAAGUCUCUUGACAAAGACAAAAGGGGUGGGUUUUUACAUAUGCUGGAUGGAAAAAAAUGACCAGCUGAUCAGACAAAAAAGGGUCCGUAAAUGAAAGAACAGAGAAAAGACAAACAAAAAAAAGUCUUGAAACAAAGACUAUGAACCACAAGGCUUUAAAAACUAUGUCUGCUUGGUAAAUACAAGGCUUAAAAAAAAGUAAACAAAGACUAUGAGUUGGAUAGGGGGUAUAAUGACCAACUCAAUCGAAAACAGUUUCUGCUUUGUAAAAGGUCAAGAGAAAGACUAUGAGUUGGAUAGGGGGUAUAAUGACCAACUCAAUCGAAAACAGUUUCUGCUUUGUAAAAGGUCAAGAGAAAGACUAUGAGUUGGUUUGUAAUUUUGGUGGAUGGAAAGAAUGAACAAUUCCUUAAGACAGAACUGAUACAAAAAACAACUAAUGGCUUUGGAAUGUCUCUUGACAAAGGCUGCCAACGGCUUAACGAAUCAUAACACACAGAAUCUAAACAAGGAUUAUGAAUCGAAAAGGAUUUUAUGAAUCGAAAAGGAUUCUUUACUUUAGACAAAAGACAAUAUGGGCCCGUUGGAUGGAAACAUUGACCAGCGGCUUAGGAAAGAAAGAAUGUCCCUAGAUGAAUAAAGAAGACUAAUGGCUGAGAGAGUUACUUGUUGGAUGAAGAAAAUGACAAACAGCUUUUAAAAACCAUAAGAAAGACUACAUGAACUAAAAGAGUUAAAGGCUUUAACAAACUGUUCAAGUUUUUCGAGAAAGACUUGAAUAUGGUAAAUCAACUUACACUUGCUGUAUGAAAUGAUACCUAAAGGGCUUAAAGAAACCAAACUGCUUAGAGAUUCUUGACACAAUGAUGAUGAAUCAAACACAGAUUCUUAUUUAACCACACGGCUCAGAAGUCUCUUGAGAAAGUCUAUGUCAUAGACUUGCUGAAUGAUAGAAAACAACUAACGAUUUAUUGUAUUGAUAAAAAGACCAACGACUUUAACGAAAAUUCAUAAGGUAAAGCUUCUUGAAAAUAUGAAUUGACAACAGGUUCUUAUGUAACCACAUGGCUAAGAAGUCUUCUGAAAAAGACUCUAUGGCUUGGUCUUGGUAUACUAACCAAUGGCUUUAAAAUGUCUCAGGAUAAUGACUAUGGAUGGAAAAAGGCCCACGGCUCAUGAUUGAGACAUGAGAAAAUGGAUAGAUAACUGAUUCUUUACUCUGCCAGGCGACUUCAAACUAAAAAAAAGUCCCAACACACAGACUAUGAACCAUAAGGUUUAAAGAAUUGUUUCUGCUUUGAUAACCACACAAGGCUUUAAAAGUUAACAAAGAGUAUUGAGUUGGAUGGAAAUAAUGACCAUCAUACUCUGAAACCAGUCUUAAACAGAGACACCAAUGGCUUAAAGAUUCUUAACAAAGAUUAUGAAUCUAAAAGAGAUUCUAACUUAAGGGCUUAAAGAAGACUUCUAGGAUGGGAUAAGACAACCAAUAGCUUAAAGAUGGGGGAAAAACGGCUAAUGGCUUAAAGGUGUGUGUUAAGACAAAGACUAUGAACCACAAAGCGUAAAACAAACUGUUUUCUGCUCGGAUAACCACAAAUAUACAAAGACUAUGAGUUGGAUGGACAUAAUGAUCAAAUCUUAAUACAAAGACAAUGGAAGAAUGUCAAGCUUAUCUGAAAUCGGUCUCCACAUAGAGACUAAAUCAAAAUAAGGUUGCACAAGGAAAAAAGACAAAGAAUGAGUUGGUAUUAGAUUUUUUUUUGGGUAGAGAAACAACCCACGGUUUGGAAAAGUCAUUGGACAAAGACAUUGGCUUGGUUUACGUUUUGUUGGAUUGGGAAAACAAACGACCAACAGCAUAAGACAAACUAUGGAAAAUCUCUUAAGAACAAAGCUGAUAAAAAACAACUCACGGAUUUGAGAAAGUCACACAGCUUAG